GCCGAGGGUCUUGUUGAACGAGACUAAUGAUAUGGAGGAAAAAUAUACAUAAAAAAGUGAAUGUAGGUGAAAGCCUGUCCACUUUUCUGAAGAGAUUAGAGAGAAGAAAACUGUGUGACGUUAAAAGAAAACCAGUUAGAUAAAAUCAGAGAAAAUGUAUGAUGAUUCAGGAUGUGGUCAUUUGUGACAUUAAGACAGGAAUUGUCAUCACCAAUAGACGAAUUUCACAUUCCUAAGAGUUUUCUCCAAUUGUCGGCGUAUCGCUCAUUUUUCCCACUUUGUCCUUUGUCCUGUUCUGUGGAUGCCCUAAGACAGUGUCUACCCAUCACUCCAUGUGACCUUGGACUAAUUUUCUAGGUCAAAGAUCAUAGGUGAUGUGAAGAAAACCAGGAAACUGAUGUUGAAAGAAGUACUUAAUGACCCUUAUGAAUGGACUUAAAUGUGAAAGAC